rnacentral:tRNA from 1 species
GCUCCGUGGUGAAAUAUCAUAUUGAAUUGCAAAUUCAAAGAAGCAGCUUUGAGGCUGCCGGGGCUU